rnacentral:rRNA from 1 species
GUCGUUAAGUCCGCUAACGAGCGCAACCCUCGCUGUGUGUUACAAGUGUCGACACGGAACUGCCGGUCAUAAACCGGAGGAAGAUGGGGAUGACGUCAAGUCAGCAUGGCCUUUAUAUCCUGGGCUACACACACGCUACAAUGGGAAGGGACAAUAGGUUGCGAAGCCGCGAGGCGGAGCCAAUCCAGCAAAACUUCCCUCAGUUCAGAUUGCAGGCUGCAACUCGCCUGCAUGAAGUUGGAGUUGCUAGUAAACGCAGGUCAGCCAUACUGCGUUGAAUACGUUCCCGGGGCUU